GCCAUAUCAAAAUAGCCUUGAAAUACUAAGGGGAAGAGCUGAGACUAAGCACAUAGGGUUGCAUGCCUGACAUAGUAUUGAAAGUAUGCCUUCCUGCAUCUAGUAUUCCCUGCUGUGCAAUGUCCUCCUGAAGUGCCAUGUGAAUGCACCUUUGCCCCUUCAGAAUUGGAAGUGCCUUUUCUCUAUUCUGUUCUGUGCUUUUCUCAAAGAUGAACAUUUGAUAUCAUCCUCCACCUGGGGAUCAAAUUUCCUUGUGAACCUAGUGAAUUCCUCAGUCCAAGGAGUUUUCAGAGUGUCCUCUUGGCCUUCACUUUCAUCUGAGACUUUGAAAUUGAUGGAGCUUUCUGCCUUUAAACUGUGGGCUUGCAUUCCUGGUUAACAGACAGAGAACUGGAGCAAUGAACUCUGCUGGGGCAUGAAUACAUUAGAAUGGAGGAAAUCGCUGUUAGGAGAGACUAGAAUAACACAUCUCCUCUGUAAAACAGUGGACCUUGGACCUGACUUCUCACCAUUGAUUUGUCGGGUGACUGCUGAGAUGUCUGACCCUGUUUACUGACUCCAGACCUGAUCCUGACCCUGACCUUUUGGUUUAACUUCUUCACUUGAUCUCAGACCUCCAAGACUUAUGCACUAUGGACUUAACUGAUAAUCUGUCCUCCGGGCUGAUCCCCA
rnacentral:lncRNA from 1 species